CAAAUACUCCCUCCGAGUCCGAAAAUACUUGUUGGAGAAAUGAAUGCAUCUAGACGUAUUUUAGUUCUAGAUACAUCAAUUUUUAUGCAUUUCUCUGACAAGUAUUUCCGGACGAAGGGAGUAUAAA
rfam:Triticum aestivum genome assembly, contig: Triticum_aestivum_CS42_TGACv1_scaffold_642768_T_4AL-0.283649_6BS-0.205347